GGUAGCUUAUAAUGAAAGAGCAUAGUCUUGAAGGGACUAAGGAGAUAGCUAAAUACCUAUUACCA
rnacentral:tRNA from 1 species